GGCUAACGCUGGCGGCGUGUCUUAGCCAUGCAAGUCGAGCGGACUUAUGGGGUAACUUAUAAGUCAGCGGCGGACGGCGGAGUAACACGUAGCUAACCUACCCUCUGGACGGGGAUAACCUACCGAAAGGUGGGCUAAUACCCGAUGUAGUCAUCCUGUAUAGGGGUGAUGAAAGGUGGGCUUCUGUUUACAAGCUCAUGCUGGAGGAGGGGGCUGCGGCCUAUCAGGUAGUUGGUAGGGUAAUAGCCUACCAAGCCGAUGACGGGUAGCCGGCCUGAGAGGGUGACCGGCCCGAGGGGCACUGAGAUACGGGUCCCACUCCUACGGGAGGCAGCAGGCUAGAAAUUUGGGCAAUGGGGGAAACCCUGACCCAGUGACGCCGCGUGCAGGAAGGAGCCCUUCGGGGUGUAAACUGCUGUCGUGUAGGGAGAAGGGUACUAAGGUGAACAAUCUUAGUACUUGACGGUACUACAGGAGGAAGCCCAGGCUAACCUCGUGCCAGCAGCCGCGGUAAAAUAACGUACU
rnacentral:rRNA from 1 species